AAAUGUGUAAGUAACUAUGCACGUCUUGACGGUACCUAAUCAGAAAGCCACGGCUAACUACGUGCCAGCAGCCGCGGUAAUACGUAGGUGGCAAGCGUUCUCCGGAAUUAUUGGGCGUAAAGCGCGCGUAGGCGGUUUUUUAAGUCUGAUGUGAAAGCCCACGGCUCAACCGUGGAGGGUCAUUGGAAACUGGAAAACUUGAGUGCAGAAGAGGAAAGUGG
rnacentral:rRNA from 1 species